rnacentral:sRNA from 1 species
UCCAUUGUUAAAGGAGCCGCGGGAGCCGG